rnacentral:rRNA from 1 species
GACGAACGCUGGCGGCGUGCUUAACACAUGCAAGUCGAGCGGUAAGGCCCUUUCGGGGGUACGACGAGCGGCGAACGGGUGAGUAACACGUGGGUGACCUGCCCUCCAGCUCUGGGAUAAGCCUGGGAAACCGGGGUACUAAUACCGGAUAUGACUCCAUGACGCAUGUUGUGGGGUGGAAAGCCUUGUGCGGCUGAGGAUGGGCCCGCGGCCUAUCAGCUUGUUGGUGGGGUGAUGGCCUACCAAGGCGACGACGGGUAGCCGG